UACGUAGGGGGCAAGCGUUGUCCGGAAUCAUUGGGCGUAAAGCGCGUGUAGGCGGCUCGGUAAGUCCGCUCUGAAAGUCCAGGGCUCAACCCUGGGAUGCGGGUGGAUACUGCCGAGCUCGAGUCCGGAAGAGGCGAGUGGAAUUCCUGGUGUGGCGGUGAAAUGCGCAGAUAUCAGGAGGAACACCAGUGGCGAAGGCGAGUCCCUGGACGACUCCUGACACUGAGGCACGAAAGCUAGGGGAGCAAACAGG
rnacentral:rRNA from 1 species